rnacentral:rRNA from 1 species
UUGGGAAGGAGGGACUCUGAUCCAGCCAUGCCGCGUGUAGGAAGACUGCCCUAUGGGUUGUAAACUACUUUUAUAGAGGAAGAAUGUCCACUACGUGUAGUGGUUUGACGGUACUCUACGAAUAAGGAUCGGCUAACUCCGUGCCAGCAGCCGCGGUAAUACGGAGGAUCCAAGCGUUAUCCGGAAUCAUUGGGUUUAAAGGGUCCGUAGGCGGGUAUAUAAGUCAGUGGUGAAAGUUUGCGGCUCAACCGUAAAAUUGCCAUUGAUACUGUAUAUCUUGAAUAAUUGUGAAGUGGUUAGAAUAUGUAGUGUAGCGGUGAAAUGCAUAGAUAUUACAUAGAAUACCGAUUGCGAAGGCAGA